rnacentral:rRNA from 1 species
AAAGCGAGCGGCGGAUGGGUGAGUAACACGUGGGGAACCUGCCCCUAAGUCUGGGAUACCAUUUGGAAACAGGUGCUAAUACCGGAUAAUAAAGCAGAUCGCAUGAUCAGCUUUUGAAAGGCGGCGUAAGCUGUCACUGAGGGAUGGCCCCGCGGUGCAUUAGCUAGUUGGUAAGGUAACGGCUUACCAAGGCGACGAUGCAUAGCCGAGUUGAGAGACUGAUCGGCCACAUUGGGACUGAGACACAGCCCAAACUCCUACGGGAGGCAGCAGUAGGGAAUCUUCCACAAUGGACGCAAGUCUGAUGGAGCAACGCCGCGUGAGUGAAGAAGGUUUUCGGAUCGUAAAGCUCUGUUGUUGGUGAAGAAGGAUAGAGGUAGUAACUGGCCUUUAUUUGACGGUAAUCAACCAGAAAGUCACGGCCAACUACGUGCCAGCAGCCGCGGUAAUACGUAGGUGGCAAGCGUUGUCCGGAUUUAUUGGGCGUAAAGCGAGCGCAGGCGGAAAAAUAAGUCUAAUGUGAAAGCCCUCGGCUUAACCGAGGAACUGCAUCGGAAACUGUUUUUCUUGAGUGCAGAAGAGGAGAGUGGAACUCCAUGUGUAGCGGUGGAAUGCGUAGAUAUAUGGAAGAACACCAGUGGCGAAGGCGGCUCUCUGGUCUGCAACUGACGCUGAGGCUCGAAAGCAUGGGUAGCGAACAGGAUUAGAUACCCUGGUAGUCCAUGCCGUAAACGAUGAGUGCUAAGUGUU